GACGAACGCUGGCGGCGUGCUUAACACAUGCAAGUCGAACGGAAAGGCCCCUUUGGGGGUACUCGAGUGGCGAACGGGUGCGUAACACGUGAGUAACCUGCCCUUGACUUCGGGAUAACUUCAGGAAACUGGGGCUAAUACCGGAUGGGAAUCCUUGCUGCAUGGUGGGGGUUGGAAAGCUUCGGCGGUUUUGGAUGGACUCGCGGCUUAUCAGCUUGUUGGUGGGGUAGUGGCUUACCAAGGCUUUGACGGGUAGCCGGCCUGAGAGGGCGACCGGCCACAUUGGGACUGAGAUACGGCCCAGACUCCUACGGGAGGCAGCAGUGGGGAAUAUUGCACAAUGGGCGGAAGCCUGAUGCAGCAACGCCGCGUGCGGGAUGACGGCCUUCGGGUUGUAAACCGCUUUCAGCAGGGGCGAAGCUUGUGGUGACGGUACCUGCAGAAGAAGCACCGGCUAACUACGUG
rnacentral:rRNA from 1 species